AGAGCGGUUCUGUUUUUAGAAGGCAGUCAUCCAGGACUGGGAAGGGGCACGCUGGAAGAAUCUAAGCCCCAGUGAAGGGUCCCAAGUGGAAGAUGAAGAAUGAUGAGGAUGUAAAUUCUUGGUGUCUGGGGGAAGCCUGAAAGACUGGAGGCUAAGACCAGCCUUGAAAAUGUAUAACAGGAGACUAAGUGGCAUUUUCUCCCAUUGUCUCAGACUGGCUGACAGUGGCACAGAGCUAGGGAGAUUUCUGCACCACCGCAAUUCUCCUUCUCCUUCAUCUCUUUCAUCUUCCUUCAGCUCUUUCUUUUCCUUCUCCUUCUUCCUUUCCUUCUCCUUUUAUUCCUCUUUCUCUUCCUCCUCACCCUGUACUCUUUAUUAUUAUUAUUGUAUUGUAUUGUAUUAUUGUAUUGAGAGAGACAUCUAUUAAGCACUUACUACGGUUCAGGCACAAUGCUAAGUGCCUUAAGUGUAUGUUUCAUUCAUAUAUCACCUUGAUGUAAAAGUUAUUUAUUGUUCCCAUUUUACAGGUGAGGAAACUGAAGCUUAGGCUAAAGUGCAUUGACCAAGGUCCACACUCAGCAAGAGUUAGAGGCAAAAUUCAAACCACAGGAGUGGUGGGCUGAGUCAGCUCUAGUGACUGGACUCCAGAAGUGGUGAUAAUUCAGACAGAACAUGCAGGGGCCGGGCAUCUGAGAGAUGGCCCAUGCUGUGGUUCACAGAGCAAAGGGCUCUUCUCACACGGUUCCUCACUGGCUCAUCCAAGUCAGAGAAGGAUAUUGAGUGCUGUAAGAGUGAAAAUAAGUUCAUAAGGGCCAUGCUUGGGAAGCUCUUGGGGGGCCCUGGAAGUGCCCAACUCUGUUGGUAUGAGGCUGUUUGUCAGUUCUGUUGGUAGCCUACACUGAUCACCUGGGGGCAGGAGUCAAGAGGUGGUGGUGAGCUGGGAAUGCCCCUGUAAGGCCUGGAGCCCAGUCUGGCUGGGUUCCUCUUGGCUUCCAAAGGACUCCAGGGCAGUGUUCAGCUGAGGCCACGAGAAAGCUUUUUCUGCUCUCCAUUCUCCAUCAUAUGGGCCGCUAAGAGCAGGGGUUCCCCAAACUGAGAUCUGUAGGCAUUCUGGAAAAAAGACAGCCUCAUAGUUAGUUGAGUUGGGGAGUUGCUACAUGUGCUAUCCUUUCCUUAGAGAUUGUUGUGGUUAUUUAAUGCUGGGUACCAAACCAUCCCAAUACUUGGUAGCUUAACAAAACAACUCAUCAUUCUGCUCAUGAAUAUGCAGAUUGGGCCGUUCUCAUGAGGGUUAAGAAAUGUUUUAACUGUAUAUUCUUUUUUUUCUUCUAUCCUGUCCUAUAUUCUCUUUCUUUCCCUCCUAUUUAUUGCCUUUUGGAAAUUAUCUAGACCAGGGUUCAGUAAACUUUUUCUUAAAGGACUAGGUAGUAAACAUUUUAGACUUUGUAGAUCAUGUGGUCUAUAUUGCAGCUACUCAACUCUGCUGUAGUACAAGCCAUAGACAUAUGUAUAAACAUAUACAAACAUAUACAUAAAGCUAUGGACAAUAUAUAAGCAAAUGAGUGUAGCUGCCUUCCAAUAAAACUUUUUUUUAUAAACAGAGGCAGCAGGCCAGAUUUGGCCCACAGGCCAUAGUUUUCCAACCCCUGAUCUAGACUAUCUGAGCAGUUAUGAGGACCUCUCUAGCAGGCUUGGGAAUGAGAAGUGCUCUGCAGGCAGGAAGCACAACUUCCUGAUAGGGGAGGGAAUUCCAAAUGUACUCCACUUACCCUUAGCAAACAAUGGCAACUCUGUCUCUAAAGAAAUGCACAAAAAGAUAUUGGAGAUUUUUGAAACAGCUUCUAUAAGAUCAGAUUUUAAGCAGUUUUAAUGGUUCUGAGAUUAAUCUGAUCAGAUUUACUUUCAAAUGUACAUAGCGCUGGUAAAAAAAAAAAAAAAUGCAUGGGAAAUUUUUGCCACACUUAGAAUGUGUUGCCUUUUAUGGCUUGCAGAAGGCAGGAGAGACACUGAAUCCAAACAGGGCUUUGCUCACUGCCUUUUUGCCCACAGACCAGAAUUCUCUGUUACAGGAGCAUUAAUGCCACAAGCUUCUGUUGUCCCUGGGGCCUGAAUCCCACUGGCUCUCAUUACAUAUUCAUAUAUAUAUAUGUAUAUAUACACACACACACAUAUAUAUACAAACACAUACAUAUACAUGUAUGUAUUUUAAGACAGGAUUUUGCUCUGUCACCCAGGCUGGAGUGCAGUGAUGCCAUCAUAGCUCACUGCAGCCUCAAACUCCUGGGCU
rnacentral:lncRNA from 1 species